rnacentral:rRNA from 1 species
UACGAAGGGGGCUAGCGUUGCUCGGAAUUACUGGGCGUAAAGGGAGCGUAGGCGGAUAGUUUAGUCAGAGGUGAAAGCCCAGGGCUCAACCUUGGAAUUGCCUUUGAUACUGGCUAUCUUGAGUAUGGGAGAGGUAUGUGGAACUCCGAGUGUAGAGGUGAAAUUCGUAGAUAUUCGGAAGAACACCAGUGGCGAAGGCGACAUACUGGCCCAUUACUGACGCUGAGGCUCGAAAGCGUGGGGAGCAAACAGGAUUAGAAACCCUCGUAGUCC